GGGGGAUUAGCUCAGCUGGGAGAGCGCUUGCCUUACAAGCAAGAUGUCAGCGGUUCGAUCCCGUUAUCCCCCACCA
rnacentral:tRNA from 1 species